AUUCUUAGAGAAUAACACAGUUUAUUAUCUAGAAUCUGUAUGUCACAAUUUUUUAAAAAUGUAUACCUCAGUUGUUAACUAUAUGUUACAGUAAUUAUUGUAAAUAAUGUUACCUAUAUGAAAUAACACUUCCUUGACAUGACCUUGGUAUUGCAUCAUGGGACAGUAUAUUUGCUUACAUAUAUUCAUAUUCAAUGACCAACAAGUAUUGAACAAACGUAAAGAACUAAGACACAAGAAACUAACUACUUUGUACUUACAGGUAAAUCUACAAGAAAGAAUGUACAUUAAAGAAGAUGUUCAGAUAUAAUACAGAAAAGACCUUAGUCCAAACUGUUUGCAUUUCAUUUUCUUUAAACUACUAUGGAUCUUUGGGCGCAUAGGUAUAAUGGGAUAUGAAAAGGCGGUCAGACUAUCAAAGGUGGAGAUUUCCAUGGGAAUACCCAAAAGACUAGUUAAUUACUACACUCUCAAGUAAAUGAUAGCCAGCAACUACAAACAAGGCUCAACAAAUGGGCAUCAGAAAGCACAAGCUGAGAUAUUUACUAAGAAAUAUGGCCACUCCAAACUGAACAUUAUGAAUUCCAUCCCCCCCCCCCCCCCCCCCCC